rnacentral:rRNA from 1 species
UACAGAGGUGGCAAGCGUUGUUCGGAAUUACUGGGCGUAAAGGGCGCGUAGGCGGCUCGACAAGUCCCGCGUGAAAGCCCCCGGCUCAACUGGGGAACUGCGCGGGAAACUGUCGGACUUGAGUUCGGGAGAGGGAAGCGGAAUUCCGGGUGUAGCGGUGAAAUGCGUAGAUAUCAGGAGGAACACCAGUGGCGAAGGCGGUGCUCUGGGCCGGAACUGACGCUGAGGCGCGAAAGCGUGGGGAGCAAACAGG